AUGAGGGUCAUGGGAGAGUCCGCUUUGGAGGCGGCACCGAAGGAGCAAAUAGCCGGCCAUGCGGGGCGGCUUUGAAUCUCUCAGGUACAAGGACCAUGGCCUGACG
rnacentral:ncRNA from 1 species